rnacentral:rRNA from 1 species
GAUGAACGCUAGCGGGAGGCUUAACACAUGCAAGUCGAGGGGCAUCACGAGGUAGCAAUACUUUGGUGGCGACCGGCGUACGGGUGCGUAACACGUAUGCAACCUUCCUGUAAGUGUGGGAUAGCCUCCUGAAAGGGAGAUUAAUACCUCAUGAUAUGUAUUUGCUGCAUGGCAUUUACAUUAAACAUUUAUGGCUUACAGAUGGGCAUGCGUUCCAUUAGGCAGUUGGUGUGGUAACGGCUCACCAAACCUACGAUGGAUAGGGGUUCUGAGAGGAAGGUCCCCCACACUGGAACUGAGACACGGUCCAGACUCCUACGGGAGGCAGCAGUGAGGAAUAUUGGUCAAUGGGCGCGAGCCUGAACCAGCCACGUCGCGUGAAGGAUGACGGCCUUAUGGGUUGUAAACUUCUUUUACUAGGGGAAUAAAGUGAGUCACGUGUGAUUUUUGUCAUGUACCCUGUGAAUAAGCAUCGGCUAACUCCGUGCC